rnacentral:rRNA from 1 species
UGGGGAAUAUUGGACGAUGGGCGCAAGCCUGAUCCAGCCAUGCCGCGUGAGUGAUGAAGGCCCUAGGGUUGUAAAGCUCUUUCACCGGUGAAGAUAAUGACGGUAACCGGAGAAGAAGCCCCGGCUAACUUCGUGCCAGCAGCCGCGGUAAUACGAAGGGGGCUAGCGUUGUUCGGAUUUACUGGGCGUAAAGCGCACGUAGGCGGACUAUUAAGUCAGGGGUGAAAUCCCGGGGCUCAACCCCGGAACUGCCUUUGAUACUGGUAGUCUUGAGUUCGAGAGAGGUGAGUGGAAUUCCGAGUGUAGAGGUGAAAUUCGUAGAUAUUCGGAGGAACACCAGUGGCGAAGGCGGCUCACUGGCUCGAUACUGACGCUGAGGUGCGAACGCGUGGGGAGCAAACAGG